AGUGAACGCUGGCGGUAGGCCUAACACAUGCAAGUCGAACGGCAGCACAGAGGAGCUUGCUCCUUGGGUGGCGAGUGGCGGACGGGGGAGGAAUACAUCGGAAUCUACUCUGUCGUGGGGGAUAACGUAGGGAAACUUACGCUAAUACCGCAUACGACCUACGUGUGAAAGCAGGGGACCGUCGGGCCUUGCGCGAUUGACUGAGCCGAUGUCGGAUUAGCUAGGUGGCGGGGUAAAGGCCCACCAAGGCGACGAUCCGUAGCUGGUCUGAGAGGAUGAUCAGCCACACUGGAACUGAGGCACGGUCCAGACUCCUACGGGAGGCAGCAGUGGGGAAUAUUGGACAAUGGGCGCAAGCCUGAUCCAGCCAUACCGCGUGGGUGAAGAAGGCCUUCGGGUUGUAAAGCCCUUUUGUUGGGAAAGAAAUCCAGCUGGCUAAUACCCGGUUGGGAUGACGGUACCCAAAGAAUAAGCACCGGCUAACUUCGUGCCAGCCGCCGCGGUAA
rnacentral:rRNA from 1 species